CAAUGAGCGGAAGGUGGUGUGCAGAGUGGAUCCUGUGCUCUUCCCAGGAUCGAAGCGGCAGCUGGAAGGCAGAAAGGAUGCCAAUAAGAGCAGUCUGGAAAACUGAGAAUAAGAAGCAACUUUGAAAAGGAAAACAAAUCA